UACGUAGGUGACAAGCGUUGUCCGGAUUUACUGGGCGUAAAGAGCGCGCAGGCGGUCGAUCAAGUCGAGUGUGAAAGCCCCCGGCUCAACUGGGGAGGGUCAUUCGAUACUGAUUGACUCGAAGGCAGGAGAGGGUAGUGGAAUUCCCGGUGUAGUGGUGAAAUGCGUAGAUAUCGGGAGGAACACCGGUGGCGAAGGCGGCCACCUGGACGGUAACUGACGCUGAGACGCGAAAGCGUGGGGAGCAAACAGG
rnacentral:rRNA from 1 species